GGGUGUUUGGCAAAUCCAUGUCAAACAGGCUUAUCAGUUGGUCGGGCCGCCAACU
rnacentral:ncRNA from 16 species